GCCAGCGUGGUGUAGUGGUUUGAGCAUUGGACUAUGACUCUGGAGGCUAGGGUUUGAAUCCCUGCUUGGCC